rnacentral:rRNA from 1 species
UACGUUCCCGGGCCUUGUACACACCGCCCGUCGCACCACGAAAGUCGGCAAUACCCGAAGCCGGUGGCCUAACCCGUAAGGGAGGGAGCCGUCGAAGGUAGGGUCGAUGAUUGGGGUG